GCGGCCCCUGCGCUCAUCCAUCGCUCGGGCGCUCGGCUGCUUCCCCCUCGCCGCUUGUUGCUAGGCAGGGCCGGACGCGGCUGCCGCGGUUUCCUGCCCGCUCUGAGGCGGACGGUGGCGGUGGGACGCGGCGCCCGCCCGUCCCCUCCCCCAAUGGAGGGUGACAAGAGAAGAACCAAAGAAGAUACCUGGAAAUCAGAAGAGCUGAGGAAACAUCUUAGGGCAUUACAGUCAGAUAGUCAAAAUGAAGACCAAAAGCACAGAGAAAAGAAACUGCAAAAAGAGAAACCUGUUUAUGACAUAGACACUCAUAAACAUGAACACAAAGACAGAGGGAAGAGCAAGGAAAGAACAAGAGAGAGAGAGAGAUUAAAAUCUGGUGACAGAGACAGGGAUAAAAUGAAAGAGAGAGAGAAGUGGAAAGAGCGCCAGGGGGAAGGAGACCAAGUGAGAUACAAAGAUAAACUUCAAGAGUCAAGUCUGGAGAAAGAAAGAUACAGUUUUCCAAAAGAUAAAGAUAGGGAGAGCAAUAGGGAGCAAGAAAAAAAGCAUAGAAGACAUGAGGUAAAGCAAAUAGAUACACAAAGUAAUCCGAAGUCAUUUGAAGGGAGAGAUAAAGAACAUCACAGAAGAAGAGAAAGCAGGCAUCAUUUGGAGAAAGAGAAAACUAGUGAAGAGCAAGAAAGAAGACAUACAGAAAAGAAGGUAAAGGAAGCAAAUGGAAUGAAGUGUUUCAUAAUGGAAGAAGAUAAAAUUGUAAAAUUGAAGAAACUGAAUCAGACUCCAGUUCCUAAGAAAUCAGAUGCAUAGAUAGUAAGGUCCUCACAAGAAGUGUAUGAAACACACAACAAAAUAUAUCUGAGCUAUUCUAU
rnacentral:lncRNA from 14 species